rnacentral:rRNA from 1 species
GAUGAACGCUGGCGGCGUGCCUAAUACAUGCAAGUCGAGCGAACAGACGAGGAGCUUGCUGCUCUGACGUUAGCGGCGGACGGGUGAGUAACACGUGGAUAACCUACCUAUAAGACUGGGAUAACUUCGGGAAACCGGAGCUAAUACCGGAUAAUAUAUUGAACCGCAUGGUUCAAUAGUGAAAGACGGUUUUGCUGUCACUUAUAGAUGGAUCCGCGCUGCAUUAGCUAGUUGGUAAGGUAACGGCUUACCAAGGCGACGAUGCGUAACCGACCUGAGAGGGUGAUCGGCCACACUGGAACUGGGACACGGUCCAGACUACUACGGGAGGCAGCAGUAGGGAAUCUUCCGCAAUGGGCGAAAGCCUGACGGAGCAACGCCGCGUGAGUGAUGAAGGUCUUCGGAUCGUAAAACUCUGUUAUUAGGGAAGAACAAAUGUGUAAGUAACUGUGCACUUCUUGACGGUACCUAAUCAGAAAGCCACGGCUAACUACGUG